rnacentral:rRNA from 1 species
GACAGAGGGUGCAAACGUUUGUUCGGAAUUACUGGGGCGUAAAGCGAGUGUAGGCGGUUUGGUAAGUCGGAUGUGAAAGCCCCGGGCUCAACCCGGGAAGUGCACUCGAUACUGCCAAGCUAGAGUAUCGGAGAGGUUGGUGGAAUUCUCGGUGUAGAGGUGAAAUUCGUAGAUAUCGAGAGGAACACCGGUGGCGAAGGCGGCCAACUGGACGAAUACUGACGCUGAGACUCGAAAGCGUGGGGAGCAAACAGG